UACGUAGGGUGCAAGCGUUGUCCGGAAUUAUUGGGCGUAAAGAGCUUGUAGGCGGUUUGUCGCGUCUGCUGUGAAAUUUCGGGGCUCAACCCCGAACUUGCAGUGGGUACGGGCAGACUAGAGUGUGGUAGGGGAGACUGGAAUUCCGUGGUGUAGCGGUGAAAUGCGCAGAUAUCAGGAGGAACACCGAUGGCGAAGGCAGGUCUCUGGGCCAUAACUGACGCUGAGAAGCGAAAGCAUGGGGGAGCGAACAGG
rnacentral:rRNA from 1 species